AAAAGCUUUCUUUAAUUAAAUAAUUGAAUUUAAUUUUUUAGUGCAAAAGCAAAAAUAAAAAUUAGGGACAAGAAGACCCUAUGAAUUUUUUAUUAAAUUUUAUAUAAAGUUUUAUAAAAUUUAAUUUAAUUGGGGUGAUGGAAAAAGAAUAAAUAUCUUUCUUUUAAAGAAAAUUGGUUCCGUUUUUAGCGAUUAAAUGAAAAAAAUACUCUAGGGAUAACAGCGUAAUAAUUUUGGAUAGUUCAUAUAGAUAAAAUAGUUUGCGACCUCGAUGUUGGAUUAGGAUUCUUUUUUGGUGAAGAAGUUAAAAAAAGAAGUUUGUUCAACUUAUAAUUUCCUACUUGAUCUGAGUUCAGACCGG
rnacentral:rRNA from 2 species